CCUACGGGAGGCAGCAGUGAGGAAUAUUGGUCAAUGGACGCAAGUCUGAACCAGCCAUGCCGCGUGCAGGAAGACGGCUCUAUGAGUUGUAAACUGCUUUUGUACGAGGGUAAACGCCGAUACCCGUAUCUGUCUGACAGUCUCGUACGAAUAAGGAUCGGCUAACUCCGCGCCAGCAGCCGCGGUAAUACGGAGGAUCCAAGCGUUAUCCGGAUUCAUUGGGUUUAAAGGGUGAGUAGUCGGUCGGAUAAGUUCGAAGUGAAAUCCCGGGGCUCAACUUCGGAAUUGCCUCUGAUACUGUUCGGCUAGAGAGUAGGUGAGGUAGGCGGAAUGUAUGGUGUAGCGGUGAAAUGCGUAGAGAUCAUACAGAACACCGGUUGCGAAGGCAGCUUACCAAGCUACUUCUGACGUUGAGGCACGAAAGCGUGGGGAGCAAACAGGAUUAGAUACCCCGGUAGUC
rnacentral:rRNA from 1 species